AAUAAAAUUUUUUAUGGUUUAAAAAUUUAUUAUAGGUUUAUUUUACAUAUAAAUUUUAGUGUUAUAUUUACUUUAUUUAAAUAAUAUUUUAUUUUGAUUAAGGUAGUAAUUAAAAUUAAAAAUUUAAGGAAUUAAGAUUUAGUAAUAUUUUAAUUAAUAACUAAUUUUGUGCCAGCAGUUGCGGUUAUACAAAAAAUAAAUAAAUUUUUAGGAAUUAAUUAAUAAAAUAAAUUUAUAAAUUUAAAAUUUAAAUUAUUAGGUGAAAUUUUAAUUUAUUAAAAAUUUACAAAGAAUUAUGAAUUAGGAAAUUUUAUUUAAAACUAGGAUUAGAUACCCUAUUAUAAAAAUUUAAAUUAAUAAUACUAAAAUAGUAUAUAAUUAUUUAUAAAAACUUAAUUAAUUUGGCGGUAUUUUAGUUUAUUUAGAGGAAUCUGUUUAUUAAUUGAUAUUCCACGAAUAAAUUUACUUAAUUUAUUGAUUUUGUAUAUCGUUGUUAUAAAAAUAUUUUUAAAUAAUAAAUAAUAUUUUAAUUUUUAAAAAAAAAAUUAAAUCAAAUCAAGAUGCAGAUUAUAAUUAAGAAUAUAAUGGAUUACAAUAAAUUUAUUUAAUUGGAUAUAAAUUUUAAAAAUUAAUUGAAAUUGGAUUUAAAUGUAAUUUUAUUUAAUUUAUUAAAAUGAUUUAAAUUUAAAAUAUGUACAUAUUGCCCGUCGCUUUCAUUUAUAAAUUGAAAUAAGUCGUAACAAAGUAGAGGUACUGGAAAGUGUUUCUAGAAAGA
rnacentral:ncRNA from 1 species